rnacentral:SRP_RNA from 1 species
CCACGAUAGGCGGGGGGCUGGCGGUCCCCUGAACCCGAAACCCGCCAAGCGGGGCUGAAUUCCCACCCCAGGCAGCUUGUGUCAAGAAACAGCUUGCUUGGAAAGUGCUGAAGGUUCGGUCCUGCGCAACAGCGCCCCGUGAACCUGGUCAGGCCCGGAAGGGAGCAGCCAUAAGCGGUCAGUGUUGUGUGCCGCAGGGGUGCCGGACUGGAGCUUGAAGAGCAGGUAUGACUUGGUGCGGGUUUUGUCGAAGGUGGGUUCGUGG